rnacentral:rRNA from 1 species
GAUGAACGCUGGCGGCGUGCCUAAUACAUGCAAGUCGAGCGAAUGGAUUGAGAGCUUGCUCUUAUGAAGUUAGCGGCGGACGGGUGAGUAACACGUGGGUAACCUGCCCAUAAGACUGGGAUAACUCCGGGAAACCGGGGCUAAUACCGGAUAACAUUUUGAACCGCAUGGUUCGAAAUUGAAAGGCGGCUUCGGCUGUCACUUAUGGAUGGACCCGCGUCGCAUUAGCUAGUUGGUGAGGUAACGGCUCACCAAGGCAACGAUGCGUAGCCGACGUGAGAGGGUGAUCGGACACACUGGGACUGAGACACGGCCCAGACUCAUACGGGAGGUAGCAGUAGGGAAUCUUCCGCAAUGGACGAAAGUCUGACGGAGCAACGCCGCGUGAGUGAUGAAGGCUUUCGGGUCGUAAAACUCUGUUGUUAGGGAAGAACAAGUGCUAGUUGAAUAAGCUGGCACCUUGACGGUACCUAACCAGAAAGCCACGGCUAACUACGUGCCAGCCGCCGCAGUAA